rnacentral:rRNA from 1 species
GCAACUCGACUACAUGAAGCUGGAAUCGCUAGUAAUCGCGGAUCAGAAUGCCGCGGUGAAUACGUUCCCGGGUCUUGUACACACCGCCCGUCACACCAUGGGAGUCGGGAAUGCCCGAAGCCAGUGACCCAAGCGAGAGCAGGGAGCUGUCGAAGGCAGGCCGGAUAACUGGGGUGAAGUCGUAACAAGGUACC